rnacentral:rRNA from 1 species
GGGCAGCAUGGUCUUAGCUUGCUAAGGCCGAUGGCGACCGGCGCACGGGUGAGUAACACGUAUCCAACCUGCCGUCUACUCUUGGACAGCCUUCUGAAAGGAAGAUUAAUACAAGAUGGCAUCAUGAGUUCACAUGUUCACAUGAUUAAAGGUAUUCCGGUAGACGAUGGGGAUGCGUUCCAUUAGAUAGUAGGCGGGGUAACGGCCCACCUAGUCUUCGAUGGAUAGGGGUUCUGAGAGGAAGGUCCCCCACAUUGGAACUGAGACACGGUCCAAACUCCUACGGGAGGCAGCAGUGAGGAAUAUUGGUCAAUGGGCGAGAGCCUGAACCAGCCAAGUAGCGUGAAGGAUGACUGCCCUAUGGGUUGUAAACUUCUUUUAUAAAGGAAUAAAGUCGGGUAUGGAUACCCGUUUGCAUGUACUUUAUGAAUAAGGAUCGGCUAACUCCGUGCCAGCAGCCGCGGUAAUACGGAGGAUCCGAGCGUUAUCCGGAUUUAUUGGGUUUAAAGGGAGCGUAGAUGGAUGUUUAAGUCAGUUGUGAAAGUUUGCGGCUCAACCGUAAAAUUGCAGUUGAUACUGGAUAUCUUGAGUGCAGUUGAGGCAGGCGGAAUUCGUGGUGUAGCGGUGAAAUGCUUAGAUAUCACGAAGAACUCCGAUUGCGAAGGCAGCCUGCUAAGCUGCAACUGACAUUGAGGCUCGAAAGUGUGGGUAUCAAACAGG